UUAAGUUCAGCGGGUAGUCCUACCUGAUUUGAGGUCAAAUUUGAUAUGAAGUUGUCCGAAGACCAUUAUGAGCGGGGCCUUUCGAGAAGUCGGUCGACAGCGCAACGUGAUUAUCACACUGACGUCCGAAACGUUAGAUUCCGCUGAUGCAUUUGAGAGGAGCCGACCGACGCCAGCACACUCCAAAGUCCAAGCUCCGA
rnacentral:misc_RNA from 1 species